rnacentral:rRNA from 1 species
UACACUCCUGCGGGAGGCAGCAGUGGGGAAUUUUGGACAAUGGGCGAAAGCCUGAUCCAGCAAUGCCGCGUGAGUGAAGAAGGCCUUCGGGUUGUAAAGCUCUUUUGUCAGGGAAGAAACGGUGAAAGCUAAUAUCUUUUGCUAAUGACGGUACCUGAAGAAUAAGCACCGGCUAACUACGUGCCAGCAGCCGCGGUAAUACGUAGGGUGCAAGCGUUAAUCGGAAUUACUGGGCGUAAAGCGUGCGCAGGCGGUUUUGUAAGUCUGAUGUGAAAUCCCCGGGCUCAACCUGGGAAUUGCAUUGGAGACUGCAAGGCUAGAAUCUGGCAGAGGGGGGUAGAAUUCCACGUGUAGCAGUGAAAUGCGUAGAUAUGUGGAGGAACACCGAUGGCGAAGGCAGCCCCCUGGGUCAAGAUUGACGCUCAUGCACGAAAGCGUGGGGAGCAAACAGGAUUAGAUACCCCAGUAGUCCCAUG